GCCACACUAUUCUAAGUUAGUAAACGCGUCGUAGCAGCUGGAAGAAAAAAAAAACAUCGAUCCGUCCUGCACAACUAUGCCGACUGACUGUAAGUAUUCGUAUGUGUGUAUCAUGAUUAUAUUAUGACUAUGUCUAUGUGAAUCAGCUGUUUAUAUCUGACCGAAGCAGCGAUUACUUCACAGCGAAUUGCGGUGCCGGAGGCGAGAGCGUGAAACAGCAGCAGGGUCCACGUGGAAAUUUGCAGGAUAUUCGGCUCAACAGACCGAUUCUAGCAGACCAGACUAAUGUGCUGACAAGCGGUAGUUUUGUACCUAUCGAGGCCAAUGUCAUUCAGCGCCCCUCCGGACGGCUCAACAGACCGAUUCUAGCAGACCAGACUAAUGUGCUGACAAGCGGUAGUUUUGGUAA